CUUUUCGGUAAAGGAAACAUCGUGAGGAAACCGGACUAAUCCCAAUAAGGUCUAGUUUUCCCCUCUGGGUUGGAAGGUCAGAUGGCAGACGCUUUCGUAUAAACUCGUGCCUACGUCAAUUCUUGGGAUUAGUUGUCAAAGCGGACCCCAGGCUCCCAUGAGCCGUGGCAAAAUGACGGGAUAACGCAAGGAGGA